rnacentral:rRNA from 1 species
UACAGAGGGGGCAAGCGUUGUUCGGAAUUACUGGGCGUAAAGGGCGCGUAGGCGGCCCGCUAAGUCGAACGUGAAAUCCCCGAGCUCAACUCGGGAACUGCGUCCGAUACUGGCGGGCUUGAAUCCGGGAGAGGGAUGCGGAAUUCCAGGUGUAGCGGUGAAAUGCGUAGAUAUCAGGAGGAACACCGAUGGCGAAGGCAGGUCUCUGGGCCGAUACUGACGCUGAGGAGCGAAAGCGUGGGGAGCGAACAGG